rnacentral:sRNA from 1 species
AGCGGGCGGCCGCCACCGAGCGUGCUGAGCAACCGCAGCCUCCGCGGCCGAGAGUGCAGCGAGCAAGGGGAGAGCCAGUUGCGCAGAGCUCUGCAACCAGCAGUCCAGGGAGAAGUGGUGAAUGUCAUGGAGCCCAGCUGAAAUGGACUGGCCCCCUUGAGCCUGUCCCAAGCCCUGGUGCCAGGUGUCCAUCCCAGUGCUGAGGUAAGACCCCUUGAAGCCCAGCCUGAGGAAGAGAGGACACAAUGCCUUUUUUGCAGGGGCAGGAGGCAGAGGGCCUUCUCAGGAAAGAAGGAGCAGUUAGUUGUUUCUGGUUCAGUCAAACCAUCUGCUUCAGCCUCAGCCCAUUGGGAGGCAAGGUCAGUUGGUGGCCAAAGAGGCUUCUGCUUUGUCAGAGCAGGUCUUUGGAAUCUUGAUGGGAGUUGUAUUUUCUCAGUUGCUGGUGAAAUUUGAAUUCCCAAGGGAAUACAUUUAUCCUCCAGGUAAGACUGCACCAGAUUCAGGUGAAUGCUUAAGUAUACCUCCUCUGCUCUGCAAGGGAGCUCUUGGGAAACACACACACGCACACACACGCGCAUGCCGCGCUCUCUCUCUUUCAACCCAAGGGUGACAGAGUGAAACAUUAUGCAGAGAGGUUA